UCUAAAGGAGAAUCUCUUCCAUAUUUCAGCAGCAUGGAGUUUGUCCAUUACCCUAGUUUUGGGCGGAAUUGAUAAGGCUUGUUAAGUGCUUUGGGUGAAGGCUCAAGCAACACAAACGUCUCCAAAACUCAGUUGUGCAUUGGCCUGGAAUCUAACCCGGACUUCACAGAGGGCGCUUUCCAGGUAAGUAUUGUGCUGACUCAGCAAUUUGGUUUCAAAAUUGACAAGGAGCAUCCUAAGGCUCUUGUAUAUUUGAGCAACAUGGACUGUGUCUGCUACCCUUUUUUUGGACAGAAGUGAUAAGGCUUGCAGAGUUCUUUGGGUGAAGGCUCAAUAUUCAAAAGUCGGUCAUGAGUGGCCGGGAAUCGAACCCCGGCCUCACGCGUGGUAGGUCAGAAUUUGACCACUGAACCACCAAUGCUUAUCUUAAAGGUUUAAGGACAACGCAGAGUGUGCUUUUCAUUAAGUAUUGUUCUGAUUAAACAGUUUGGUUUCAAAAUAGAAAAGGAGCAUCCUAAGUCUCUUGUAUAUUUCAGCAGCAUGGAGUUGGUCUAGUUUGGGCAGAAAUGAUAAGGCUUGUAAUGUUCUUUUGGUGAAGGCUUAACUUUCAAAAGUCACUUCUGCAUUGGCCGGGAAUUGAACCCGGGCCUCCCGCGUGGCAGGCGAGAAUUCUACCACUGAACCACCAAUGCUUAGUUUAAAUAACUAAAGACUUCACAGAGUAAGCUGUUCAGGUAAGUAUUGUGCCGCUUCAGCAGUUUGGUUUCAGAUUUGAAAAGGAGAAUCCUAAGUCUCUUCCUUAUUUCAGCAGCAGUCACACACUAUAUUUCCAGAUACUGUAUAAUAUUAUAAUAUCUCCUCUCUGCUCAACACGCAUGUAAUACAGUCUACAUACCGUAGAGCAGUGUUUUUCAACCACUGUGCCGUGGCACACUAGUGUGUCGUGAGAGAUCGUCAGGCGUGCCUUGAGAAAUUGUCCAAUUUCACUUAGUCUUAAAAUUCUUUUUUAUUAAAAUUUAUUCAUUAUUAUCUGCAAAUAAUAAGCCAUUGUUGCGUGUCUGUGCUGUAAUAUAGUGACUGGCAGAGCAAUGUAAUAUUCGUCCGGGUGGCAGCAGGUAAUUGCCUCCUACCUUCUUAGAGACAAGAGAAUUAGUGACGCAUGCGACAGGUCGUGGUGGCAGUGAUGGAGAAGUUUUUAAAAAGGAAAAAUGCAAACUCCGAACUGGGCCCUGGACAAGAUUGUGACCCAGGUGAAGGGCCUAGUAUGAGUGGUGGUAAAAAGAAAGCAAAGACGGUGAGCUCGAGGCAAUACAGCGAAAGCUAUCUUUCGUUAGGAUUUACUUUCACCAGCGAUGAGAUGACCCCGACUCCAUUAUGCUUGGUGUGUGGCGAGAAGCAGUCCAGUAGCGCCAUGGUGCCGAGCAAGCUUAAACGCUAUCUCCAAGCGAAACACCCGUCGCUUCAAAACAAACCGAUGGACUAUUUUGUUUGCGUGAAAACACCGAAACAGGCAACAUUAAUGAGAAAAACCACAAAGGUAAAUUAGAAAGCCCUCAAAGCUAGUUGCUGAACUUGUAGCUAAAUGAAAAAAGCCCCACACUGUGACAGAGACGUUAAUACUACCUGCCCGCAAAGACACUGUCAACGAGAUGCUCGGCCCUGACGCGGUUAAAGACAUAUCUAAACUCCCGCUCUCAGAUAACACAAUCGCCAGACGUAUUGAUGACAUGUCUACAGACAUCGAAAGCCAUGUUUUGGAAAAGAUACGCAUCAGUAGGAAAUUUGCGUUGCAACUUGAUGAGUCUACGGAUAUUCUCAGCUCUUGGCCAAUGUGCGUUUUGUGGAUGGAGAUGCCAUUAGAGAAAACUUCCUAUUUUGUAAGGCACUGCCAGAAAAAACAACAGGAGAGGAAAUUUUUUGGGUCAAAUCGGAAUAUCUUGACCAGGGAGGACUUACGUGGGAAAAUUGCACAAGUGUUUGCACUGAUGGAGCUGCAGCCAUGGUCGGGCACACCUAAGGCUUCGUUAGCAGAGUGAAGGAAAGAAACCCAGAUCUUAUUGUUACACACUGUUUUCUGCACCGUGAGGCCUUCGUUGCAAAGACUUUACCAGCAGAACUAGUUCCUGUGUUGGAUGAUUUUGUGCGCAUAGGGAACUUUGUAAAGACACGACCUUUGAAAAGGUAUAUUUGCAUCUUUGCGUGAGGAAAUGUGAGCGGAGCAUAAAGCCUUAUUGCUCCAUACGGAGGUCCGAUGGUUGUAGCGUGACAAGUUGCUGGCCCGUGUGUAUGAGCUGCGGGAGGAACUUAAAGUGUUUCUGACAAAUGAGAGGUCUGAUUACUCAAAUCUGUUUGAAAGUGAUGAGUGGUGUGCAAAGCUGGCAUACCUGGCAGAUAUAUUUCAUCAUCUGAAUGAACCGAACACACGGAUGCAAGGCCGAAAUGAGAACCUGCUUACAAGCAUGGAUAAAAUAAAUGGAUUCCAUUUAAAGGUGCACCUCUGGCAACAACAUGUGCAAAGUGCCAACCUUGAGAUGUUCCCACUCACAGAGGAACGGCAAGAUCACCCUGCUGCACUGUGCGAGGUAAUAGUUAAACAUCUGAAAACUCUUGAGGAGAAGUUGUCAUUUUAUUUCUCUUCAGCCUCCACUGAAUGCCUUGACUGCUGUUGGAAAGGACAUGACUUUACAGGAGCAGGAGGAACUAACUGAACUGAAACAAGAUCGUGGUUUAAAGCUAAGAUUUGCUGAACUUCCUUUGGACAGUUUUUGGUUGACUGCUGCCAAGGAAUUCCCCAUUCCGGCCAACAAAGUUUUGACAUUGCUCCCAUUUUCCACAACAUAUGUGUGUGAGCUGAGCUUUUCAAGCCUAACUGCUAUAAAAACUAAAAACAGAGAGAGACUGAAAGCUGUUGAAGAAGAGCUUCGUGUAUGCCUUUCUUCAAUUCCUGCCAGGAUAUCGGCUUUGUGUUCAUCUAAACAGGCCCAGGUUUCACACUGAGUGAGUAUAAAUGAAUUGAGAAACUAUAUUGUAAUUAUAUAUACUGUAUUAGGCUACAGAGUGUCAUUCUGUAACAUUUUUGGUUGGUGGUGUGCCGCAAGAUUUUUCCAAUGUAAAAAAUGUGCCAUGGCUCAAAAAAGAUUGAAAAACACUGCGUUACACUACACAAUUUAAGAAGCUACACUUACUUCUGCUUCCAUUGUAACACUUUUCAGUUUUGGAGCAACAACAACAAAAGUGUUGGAACAAAAUAAAUCUUAUUUUCCAUUCCAGGUUGCAGGUAUUCGUGGGUGCAAUGCAACACUGUUCCACACACAAAUAAGUCUUUUGAAUGGUUAAAUGACUAAAAUCAGAAAGCGCCACCAGCAUAUCUGACAAAGAUGACUCAUGAACCAAUUCUUUAAUCACUAGCUGAAAACGACGUAUUGAAUUUACACAAACGUCAAAUAACAAAUACAACAUUCUACUUUCUCAUGAAUAUGGUAUAGUGCAUUGCUUAAUCAGCAGUUUUUCUUAGAAAGACAAGAUAUUUAAAUUGAAUGAAUUUAAUGAAACCACACAUCAAGCUGUCUUUUCUAACAGAACAUUAAAUUUAGCAUUAGCUCCCAGUUCUAGAAAGUUCUAGCCAGACAUUCAGGGGGAAAGAAUCAGAACAAAAUGUAAAAUAAAAAAAGUAGUGAAAGAUGAAAGUGAAGGAAUAAACGAGGGGUUUGUGUCUUAGUUGUUGAGUAAUUAAAAACUAAAAAAAAGGCUGUGAGAUUCAGCGUUUGUCACAACGAUGCCAAACGCUCUGCGUCUCCCGACUAUUUCUUUGGGAUUGUUCCCAAACCGAGAAAUCAAGGUUCUUCAGUCAUGCUUCCCCCACAAUCAAGCUUUGGAGUUGAUUCCAUAUUCACAAUGACUAUAGAGUCGACUCCAAAGCUUGAUUCCUUUGAAUCGACUCUAUUCCCAUUACCUGGUAUCUACGAAUUGACACCAGGUAUUAGGAAUCGCCCUGUUAAUCAUGAUAAUGAUCCUAUGUACUUAAUACUGUGGGUUGUUCCCCUAACCUUUAAUUCGAGAUUUGUGCUGAAUCGAUUCUUGGAACAGACUCACUCAGUGUUGCAAUCGAUUUCAGAAUAUUAGCAAGGGUUUGAAUCGUUAUCAUUUCCCUUGCUUCCAUUUGUAGGAAGCUGCCUUAAUCACGAUGAACCCAGGCUACGCAGGCAGGACCAAGCUCCGGGACAACCUGGAGGCCGCUUCAGAUCCGUCUCCAUGAUUGUGCCCGACCACGCCGUCAUCGCAGAGGUGGACUUGUGAGCUGAGGGCUUCAAGUCCAGUGAGACUCUGGCGAAGAAGAUGAUUCAGCUGUAUAAGCUGUGCAGCAAGCAGCUUUCCCGGCAGGACCACUACGACUUCAGCAUGAGAGUCGUCAACUCUGUUAUCGUCAUGGCCGGGUCUCUGAUGCGAGAGAACCCACACCUGAGUGAGAACGUGGUGUUGAUUAGAGCGCUACGAUACUCCAACCUGCCCAAGUUACUCAAGGAUGACGCAGAACUUAAAAUAAAAUAAAUUGAUAAAUAGUAAAGAACGCCAAAGCUUACAUAUGGAGUAUCAAAGGUCAUUAUCACAGGAUCACUGGAAUCAGGCACUAGGAGGAAAUUCCAGGACAAAUUAGGAAAUACAAUUAACUGACAUUUGCAAAUUCUUUGCAACUAAAAAGCUGUAAUUAUAUACUAUAUAACUUUUUUUUAAAGCAUUUAAAGUAUAUAACAUUAGCACCUUGUAAUGUUAUACCAGAUGAAAAGUAAAGAAUCCUGGAACAUCUGAACAUCCAUAAUCUGAAAAUCUUGAACCUAGUGUCAAUCGAGUCAAUCCAAUCCUUCUUGUGUGCGUUUAGCGGUAUUCUGUCGGACCUCUUUCCUGGCGUGGGCGUCCCCGAGCAUGACUACGGCAUGCUUCAGUCGAACAUCGAGGCAGCUCUAUGCUCCCGCUCCCUGCAGCCCGUCUCCAGCCUGACCGCCAAGGUGAUCCAGCUGUACGAGACCAUGCUGGUGCACCAGGGCGUCUUGCUGGUGGGCCCUACAAGAGGCGGUAAAACCACAGCGGACCGUGCCCUCACUGACGCACUGCGCACCCUCCACGAGACAGAGGGCUGCGAGGUGAAUCUCUUAUACAAGCCCAUCGAGACCGACGUGCUCAACCCGCAGUCAGUGAGCAUGGACGAGCUGUAUGGUGAAGACGACCCUCUCACACGGGAGUGGAGUACCAUCAAACCGUCUCUCGGCAGUGACAUCGCCGACACGCACAAGUGGGUGGUGAGUGACGUACCUGUGGACGUGCCUGUGGAUUGAGAAAAUUACCUCCGUGUUGGACAACAACAAGACGCUCUGUCUGGCUAACGGUGAAAGGAUCAAGCUCACACCUUCUACACACAUGUUAUUCGAGGUGUUACCCAUCAGACACAGGUAGCAUCGGUCCUAAAAACCAUCACAAACAAGCACAAGCAUGUCAUUUCCAAGAAGAUUUUUUUUUUUACAUUAAACGCGUUCCUGAUGGAAAGGUCACACACAAACGUAUCUUUAAGACUUCACUCUUUCACAUGCCUAUAACGAGCGAUAAACGCAUUCGAAGCAUGUUAUAAAGCCUCCGUAAUUCAUUGUGCAUAGUAUUUAAAUAAAUAUUAUUAUAAUAACAUGCACUACACUACAUUAUGCAUUAUGAAUUCUUAACGUAUUGUUAACACGUCUUUACUGUGAGCGGGAUGAUGACCAGACGGAGGCAGGCUCCCAGGUACUCAUAUCCGUAGACGUACUGAUACAGAGCCAUUCUGGCCACGCAGUUAUCCAGAUCCACGUCCCAGUAUUAGCACAGCUGCCUCUGCCACUCAAAGUUACUGCUCGAGUCCACCUACGUGAACACAUACACAAAGACAUGUGAUAUAUAUACAAUCUCAUUGUAUACGAAUUGGGUAUUCUCGCUGAGGAUAUAGCGUGGAUAGUUUAUAAUGAGUGCGUUCAUACUGUAUAAACCUGGGAACUGAUUUGCAUAUGCACUGCUGUCAGAGCUGCAGUUAUUUUUAAAAGAUUUAUUAACAGCUUCUGACCAAUCAGAUCUGACCACACCCAUGAUUCCCUUCGCUCUGAAGAGAAGGUGUGUAGCUGUCUGUACCCUUUCAUUGACGAGCUCCGUGACGAUGUCUCUGGCGUGGACAUCCACAGUAAUGAGAGCUGUGAUGAUGCUCUGAUGUAUUUUGGGUAAGUUACCCAAGAGUGGCCAACACAUUCAGCCUCUGUAUAAACACACACACACGCACAGAGUAAUAUUACAUAUUACACCAUACACCAUUAUGUCAUGUAAUCAGAGAAGGAAAUCUGAACUACAGUUCCCAGCAGCCACUGCAUCACAGUCACAUGACCACCUGCACCUGGAUCACAUUCCUGGUAAGCACUUGUGUAUUUAGCCAGUUUUCACUGCACUCUUUGUCUCACGUUUGUCUUUCUUUACCUUUGUCCCUGGUGCUGUGUUUUUUUCUUUGGUUUAUGUUUAGUCUUUGCCACAGUGAUUUGCCCCAAUGUCAGUGUCUUUUGUAUUUUGUUUAGUUCUUUAUUAAACUUGAAAAAUCUGCACUUGCA